rnacentral:tRNA from 1 species
GCCGGAGUGGCGGAACAGGCAGACGCGCGCGACUCAAAAUCGUGUGGGCUUGGCCCAUGUGGGUUCGACUCCCACCUCCGGCACCU